rnacentral:rRNA from 1 species
UACGAAGGGGCGAGCGUUGUUCGGAUUUACUGGGCGUAAAGCGCACGUAGGCGGUCUUUAAGUCGGGGUGAAAUCCUGGAGCUCAACUCCAGAACUGCCUUCGAUACUGGAAGACUUGAGUCCGGAGAGGUGAGUGGAACUGCGAGUGUAGAGGUGAAAUUCGUAGAUACUUGCAAGAACACCAGUGGCGAAGGCGGCUCA